rnacentral:rRNA from 1 species
UACAGAGGCCACAAGCAUUAGUCGGAAUCACUGGGCUUAAAGGGUGCGUAGGUUGUCCAUCAAGUGCUUUGUGAAAUCCCACGGCUCAACCGUGGAACAGCAGGGCAUACUGAUGGACUUGAGGCAAGUAGGGGCUGACGGAACAGUAGGUGGAGCGGUGAAAUGCGUAGAUAUCUACUGGAACGCCGAUGGUGAAGACGGUCAGCUGGGCUUGUCCUGACACUGAGGCACGAAAGCGUGGGGAGCAAACAGG